AUUCAGAAUCGUAAAGUGCUGUUUAAACCAUGUUCCAGCAAAAACGGUUUAUUUUGGCGACAUUUGGUUGCAACAGAUUUCCAGAACACGGGCGAUUAAGUCAUUUAUGCUACAGUUUACCUCCCCACCCCCGGGUGCAGUGUGCACACACAGGCGUACAAAGGCCCACCGUAUGCCCAGGGACCUGCCAAUGGCUUCCAUCAGACCGCACACAUAUAUACACACACAAACACUGACACUGGAAAAGGCUGCUGUGUCACGGAAAGUUGUCUACGCAGCAGUGUCAAGCAGUCCGAAGGGAACGCGGAAAAAGAUGGGUAAGGAAAAUGGGAAAAGUGCUGCUUUCAGUACCGACACCGACACAGUCAGCUUUUGUAUUACCGUCAACCGACUAGGACUCAGAUUGAAAUUAAAACUGAAAUGUAUUUAAAGUUUUACUCUACCAAUCAAAUUUAAAAGACGGAUGUUCUUGGAGUUUUACAGUCUUAAAAUUUGCGCUUUGCACAUGACGUCCUAAAUUAUAGACCUCUUGAGGUCACCUAAAUCAUAGAUGUAUAGGACACUGCUAUUUAUUGUUGACUCAAGUGGCCUUAAGAAAAGAAGAAAGUUGGUACAAUAUCAGCACCAUUGCCAUGCAAAUUAUCAAUCAAAUAAUUUUCUACAAAUGUGGAACAAUCCACAUAGCGCACACAUUGAAAUAGAUAUUGGAAAUAAAUUGAAAUAUGUGUAGUAUAUAUACAUAUAUACGAGCAUAUGCAUGUCCGUAUAGCUGAAAGAGGAACCGCCCAACCAGAGCCGGAAAUAUUAUUGAUUAUCGCAAAGGCAAAUGCCAAUAAACGUUUAUUUUCGUUCAUUA